GGGGGAUUAGCUCAGUUGGCUAGAGCGCCACGCUGGCAGCGUGGAGGCCAUCGGUUCGAGUCCGAUAUUCUCCA
rnacentral:tRNA from 1 species